ACUCCGGUGACCUAGUGGUUAGAGCGUCCGCCUCUGAUGCGGAAGGUCGUGGGUUCGAUUUCCAGCUGAGGCA